CCUACGGGGGGCUGCAGUGGGGAAUAUUGGACAAUGGGGGCAACCCUGAUCCAGCCAUGCCGCGUGUGUGAAGAAGGCCCUCGGGUUGUAAAGCACUUUCAGUGAGGAAGAACGCCUGGUGGUUAAUACCCAUCAGGAAAGGCAUCACUCACAGAAGAAGCACCGGCUAACUCCGUGCCAGCAGCCGCGGUAAUACGGAGGGUGCGAGCGUUAAUCGGAAUUACUGGGCGUAAAGCGCGCGUAGGUGGCUUGAUAAGCCGGUUGUGAAAGCCCCGGGCUCAACCUGGGAACGGCAUCCGGAACUGUCAAGCUAGAGUGCAGGAGAGGAAGGUAGAAUUCCCGGUGUAGCGGUGAAAUGCGUAGAGAUCGGGAGGAAUACCAGUGGCGAAGGCGGCCUUCUGGACUGACACUGACACUGAGGUGCGAAAGCGUGGGUAGCAAACAGGAUUAGAUACCCGAGUAGUC
rnacentral:rRNA from 1 species